AUGAACGCUGGCGGCGUGCCUAAUACAUGCAAGUCGAGCGAACGGACGAGAAGCUUGCUUCUCUGAUGUUAGCGGCGGACGGGUGAGUAACACGUGGAUAACCUACCUAUAAGACUGGGAUAACUUCGGGAAACCGGAGCUAAUACCGGAUGAUAUUUUGAACCGCAUGGUUCAAAAGUGAAAGACGGUCUUGCUGUCACUUAUAGAUGGAUCCGCGCUGCAUUAGCUAGUUGGUAAGGUAACGGCUUACCAAGGCAACGAUGCAUAGCUGACCUGAGAGGGUGAUCGGCCACACUGGAACUGAGACACGGUCCAGACUCCUACGGGAGGCAGCAGUAGGGAAUCUUCCGCAAUGGGCGAAAGCCUGACGGAGCAACGCCGCGUGAGUGAUGAAGGUCUUCGGAUCGUAAAACUCUGUUAUUAGGGAAGAACAUAUGUGUAAGUAACUGUGCACAUCUUGACGGUACCUAAUCAGAAAGCCACGGCUAACUACGUG
rnacentral:rRNA from 1 species